rnacentral:rRNA from 1 species
GCAAGUCGAACGGUAGGAAAUCUUCGGAUUUCUGAGAGUGGCGAACGGGUGAGUAACACGUAGAUGAUCUACCUUUUAGUUGGGGAUAGCCCAUGGAAACAUGGAGUAAUACCGAAUAAUCUCUUUUUGCUUUAGCGAAUUGAGGAAAGCAGCGUUUGCUGUGCUAAAAGAUGAGUCUGCGCACUAUUAGCUAGUUGGUGGGGUAAGAGCCUACCAAGGCGACGAUAGUUAGCCGACCUGAGAGGGUGAUC